AUUGAACGCUGGCGGGAUGCCUAACACAUGCAAGUCGAGCGGAGUGGCGAACGGGUGAGUAAUGUCUCGGCAUGUGCCUGGUAGUGGGGGAUAACGUCCGGAAACGGUCGCUAAUACCGCAUACUAUUAGAGCAGCCUAUGUCGGAUUAGCUAGUUGGUGGGGUAAAGGCUGACCAAGGCGACGAUCCGUAGCUGGUUUGAGAGGAUGAGCAGUCACACUGGAACUGAGACACGGCCCAGACUCCUACGGGAGGCAGCAGUGGGGAAUAUUGGACAAUGGGCGAAAGCCUGAUCCAGCCAUGCCGCGUGUGUGAAGAAGGUCUUCGGGUUGUAAAGCACUUUAAGCUGGGAGGCGUUACCAACAGAAUAAGCACCGGCUAACUUCGUGCCAGCAGCCGCGGUAAUAC
rnacentral:rRNA from 1 species